rnacentral:rRNA from 1 species
UGGAUCCAGACUUUGAUUAUGGCUCAGGACGAACGCUGGCGGCGUGCCUAGUACAUGCAAGUCGAGCGAGCUUGCCUAGAUGAUUUUAGUGCCUGCACUAAAUGAAACUAGAUACAAGCGAGCGGCGGACGGGUGAGUAACACGUGGGUAACCUGCCCAAGAGACUGGGAUAACACCUGGAAACAGAUGCUAAUACCGGAUAACAACACUAGACGCAUGUCUAGAGUUUGAAAGAUGGUUCUGCUAUCACUCUUGGAUGGACCUGCGGUGCAUUAGCUAGUUGGUAAGGUAACGGCUUACCAAGGCAAUGAUGCAUAGCCGAGUUGAGAGACUGAUCGGCCACAUUGGGACUGAGACACGGCCCAAACUCCUACGGGAGGCAGCAGUAGGGAAUCUUCCACAAUGGACGAAAGUCUGAUGGAGCAACGCCGCGUGAGUGAAGAAGGGUUUCGGCUCGUAAAGCUCUGUUGGUAGUGAAGAAAGAUAGAGGUAGUAACUGGCCUUUAUUUGACGGUAAUUACUUAGAAAGUCACGGCUAACUACGUGCCAGCAGCCGCGGUAAUACGUAGGUGGCAAGCGUUGUCCGGAUUUAUUGGGCGUAAAGCGAGUGCAGGCGGUUCAAUAAGUCUGAUGUGAAAGCCUUCGGCUCAACCGGAGAAUUGCAUCAGAAACUGUUGAACUUGAGUGCAGAAGAGGAGAGUGGAACUCCAUGUGUAGCGGUGGAAUGCGUAGAUAUAUGGAAGAACACCAGUGGCGAAGGCGGCUCUCUGGUCUGCAACUGACGCUGAGGCUCGAAAGCAUGGGUAGCGAACAGGAUUAGAUACCCUGGUAGUCCAUGCCGUAAACGAUGAGUGCUAAGUGUUGGGAGGUUUCCGCCUCUCAGUGCUGCGGCUAACGCAUUAAGCACUCCGCCUGGGGAG